AUACAAUAACCCAGAAGCUUGGGAACAACCAUUAGGUGAAGGAGCCAGAUGCAGAAACAGAUAAGUUUCAUUGAAAUCACAAACAGAAAAACACAAAAUAGGACAAUGCCCGGUAAACACUCUAUUUGUCUUUCUCACAGUCAGUCUGAAUAACAGGUGAGUAGGGUGAGGAACUGGUGCCCACUGACUGGCGUCUCAUGGAUUUGUAACUGGCGUGAUUGGAUCAGGAAUGGGUGCUCUGUGUAAAGGGGUUGUGGCGGCUGAUGAUUCAAUGAUUAGUAGUCCAGGGAUGGUGGUCAGGUGUGAGUGUGUGCAGGGCGUGCAGUUGUGGUGGUGCAGAGACAGUACAAACAGUGCUUUUAUUUACAGUGAUGCUAUUUAAAACAAGAACCAACACAGAACCAACAAAACCAACACCAUAAACAAGCAUGGCUAUUAACAACUCUAAAGACCGAUCAAAACCGAUCAAAACACACACAGUAGAAGGGUUUAACACACAAAGCAACUAUAACCACACCAGGCAAGAUCUGUAGCAGACAUCCUGAACACAAGUUAAGGUCUCUAUACAUGUUGAGGUGGCCAAUCAGCAUGUAGUAGGCUGAGCUGAACUCUCUGGUUCGAUCUAAUUUCCUUUGCACAGUUCUGUAGGGAGCACCAGCUCCCUGAGCAGCAUGAUCAUUAUUUUUGACUGUUAGAUACUUUGACUUUUUGACUUUGUGAGAUUAUGUAACUUUAAACAAGUUCCCCUAUCCUGUCUAUGAUCUUGCAGUAACUAGAAAUUGCUUUGCCAUUCAGAGAGAAGCAGCUCAGGCUGUCAUAUGUCGUCACAAGGGGAAUUUCUUUUGAAAAAUGUCAACACGAUUUACUGUCAGCGCCAAACAUUGUGCAUUUAAAGCUACAGAAACCGAAACAGCGUGUCCUGGGGAAAUCUGAUUGGGGGACUGGAACAAAGCGGCUGUAAUUCUGCACCAGGCCUGAAUUUUGGUUCUGUAUCCACAUGAGAAGAGAUGCCUGUUUUUGGAUCCUUUGGGAAAAACAGCAACUAAUCAGAAAAGAUGUGAGGAGACAACAAGAGCCUUUAUGCGGAAGAAGGGGCCACAACAUUUCAAGGUGGUCAUGCAGCACCCUGCCUCAUUAUCUCCAGCAAGACACAGUACCUUGUGGUGUCCUGGCAUUAAUGUUUGCAGAAAAAAUUCUGAUCGGUGAAACUUUAAGUUUUGACACCACCGAGGAAGAGGUAAACAAAAUGAGGCUGGAUAUAGCCACCACCCUCCUCCGGGAAUCUGACAAUCUCAGCAGCAUGUGCUAUUAUUGUGGUAGUGAGGAUAGAGACUCACAAUGGAUUUGCUGUGACAGUUGUAAACGGUGGUUUCAUGUAAGCUGUGUCCAGCAUCCUCCAGUGGACAAGGAGUACCUGUGCCCAGCAUGCAGCUGAUUAGUGUGCAAUGCACCCGCCAUUAGCAAUCAAGACUGUAGAAACUUGUAAAUAGCAUGAGCACUUUAAAAAAUUUAAUUUAUAAUAACUGCACAUUAUUGUUAUUUAUUGUUUUGUUGCUUGGAGUAUGUAACUUUUUUUUUCCUUAAUUAUUUUUGUGUUAACUGUUUAAUGAUUGUAAAAAAAACUGAAGUGUUAAUUUAAUUAUUACUGUAC
rnacentral:lncRNA from 1 species